rnacentral:rRNA from 1 species
GAUGAACGCUGGCGGCGUGCUUAACACAUGCAAGUCGAACGAAGCACUUAAAUUUGAUUCUUCGGAUGAAGAUUUUUGUGACUGAGUGGCGGACGGGUGAGUAACGCGUGGGUAACCUGCCUCAUACAGGGGGAUAACAGUUAGAAAUGACUGCUAAUACCGCAUAAGCGCACGGUGUCGCAUGACACAGUGUGAAAAACUCCGGUGGUAUGAGAUGGACCCGCGUCUGAUUAGCUAGUUGGCGAGGUAACGGCCCACCAAGGCGACGAUCAGUAGCCGACCUGAGAGGGUGAUCGGCCACAUUGGGACUGAGACACGGCCCAA